UACGUAGGCAGCAAGCGUUGUUCGGAGUUACUGGGCGUAAAGGGUGUGUAGGCGGUCCUCUAAGUUUGGUGUGAAAUCUCCCGGCUCAACCGGGAGGGUGCGCCGAAGACUGGGGGACUAGAGUAUCGGAUGGGAGAGUGGAAUUCCCGGUGUAGCGGUGAAAUGCGUAGAUAUCAGGAGGAACACCUGCGGUGUAGACGGCUCUCUGGACGAUAACUGACGCUGAGACACGAAAGCGUGGGUAGCAAACAG
rnacentral:rRNA from 1 species